UUUUUCCCACAAUCCCCAGCGGUGAGCAGUUUAUAAGUAUCCGCUCGGCAUCCGCUCUGUCUCUCUGCGGGCUGCUACCAUGCGGUGUUUUGUGGAAUAUGCUAGUUGUGGUGAAGUAGGUGCUGAACCGACCUGAUGGAGGAGCUGUAAGACAACUCCACCCCCACCAUGCUUGCCCUCUGGGACUACAGGCGGACCUUGUAGAGCGCCCUCUGCUGACGGUCCUGCUGCUGCUUCCUGCAGACAGAAGCAGCAUGGAGAGCAGCUGGCCAGCAGGGGGCAGCAGUUGCACCUGCAGUGUGGCAGGUGGGUCAGGUGUGUGAGGAAGCAGGAAUAGGUGUUGACCCAAUCGGUACUGCCAUGGCAGAGACUCCUCUCUGCUGUGGAAUCAUAAUAUUGGGAGAGAAAGUCAGGACUUGGCACAGGUUCAAGUAAAACCAGUUUACUAGAACCUGACUGAAGACCUGAAACAACAAACUAACUUCAUUGUUAGAAAUCCACUGAAAUACUGACUGUCUGUUUUGUGAUCAGGUGAAAGGAGGCUGACUGCAGGAGGAUGCAUCCGGACCGUCUUUACUCAACCUGAGCCACCGUCUCACUUUACUGCCGUCAGGACAGUCACUAUGUCCUAGUUAUGAACGAUCAUUUAUUUUACUGAUGUUUUUACUUCAGACAUGACUUGCUGUUGAGACUGUAUGUUUCAAGCUGAAAUGGAUCAAGCCAAUAAAAAAAACUUGAAUUGAA